rnacentral:tRNA from 1 species
UCCUCAGUAGCUCAUUGGUAGAGCGGUUGGCUGUUAACUGAUUGAUUGUAGAUUUGAAUCCUACAUGGGGAG